UAUUUUAGUUGUUAAAUGUUGUCGUUAGGAGGAGGAUUAUUGUUGUCCAAAAGUGGCAUUGUUGUGUCUAUUAAAGUUUUAAUAUCUGGUCAAAUUUUGUAAAUAAAUUGUUGACUAAUUUUGGUAAUAAUAAUUUUGGGUCGGAUUUUGAUUGGUAAUGCCUCGUAACUCUAAUCCGGCGACGGACUCGGGUCGGGGUGUUACAGGUCUUGCAUGGUAUGUAUUUCUUGCUUAAUUUUUAAUGAAUUCCAUGUUUUUGUAACCAUGUAAGCUUAAUUUAGGUAACCCGGGGGCUAAAUUGUUAAAAUGUUAAAAGUUAAAGGAUUGUCAUGAAGUGUUUAAGCAUGUUUGUG
rnacentral:lncRNA from 1 species